AGGAAGGAGAAGUCGUAGUAAGGUUUCCGUAGGUGAACCUGCGGAACGAUCAUUG
rnacentral:rRNA from 1 species